rnacentral:rRNA from 1 species
GCAUAUCAAUAAGCGGAGGAAAAGAAACUAACAAGGAUUCCCCCAGUAACGGCGAGUGAAGAGGGAAAAGCCCAAAUUUGUAAUCUGGCUCUUUCACAAGGGUCCGAGUUGUAAUUUUAAGAACUGUUUUCUGUGCUGGACCAUUUCUAAGUCUGUUGGAAAAUAGCAUCAUAGAGGGUGAUAAUCCCGUUUGUGAUAUGGACUACCAGGGCUAUAUGAUACAGUUUCUAAGAGUCGAGUUGUUUGGGAAUGCAGCUCAAAGUGGGUGGUAAAUUCCAUCUAAGGCUAAAUAUAGGUGAGAGACCGAUAGCAUACAAGUACCGUGAGGGAAAGAUGAAAAGAACUUUGGAAAGAGAGUUAACAGUACGUGAAAUUGUUGUAAAAGAAACAUUUAAACUUGUUGUUGUGCUUGUCAGUUCAGCCCUUUUAUCAGGGUGUAUUCUGGCAAAUCACGGGCCAACAUCAGUUUUUGAGUGCUGGAUAAGGGUCUUGGGAAUGUAGCAGUCUAGGCUGUGUUAUAGCCCAGGAUUUAGAUACAGUGCUUAGGACUGAGAACAAUUUGCAGCAAGCCCUUUACUGUGGCUGCCUAUCAUGGGCACCUAUGCUGAGGAUGUUGGUGAGACAGAUUUAAAUGACCCGUCUUGAAACACGGACCAAGGAGUCUAACAUGCUUGCGAGUGUUUGGGUGUUGAAACCCUGAUGCGUAAUAAACGUAAAUGUAAAUGGGAUCUGUAACAAGUGCACCAUUGACCAGUCCUGAUUAUUUAUAUGAGGGUACUGAGUAAGAGCAAGUAUGUUGGGACCCGAAAGAUGGUGAACUAUGCCUGAAUAGGGUGAAGCCAGAGGAAACUCUGGUGGAAGCUCGUAGCGAUUCUGACGUGCAAAUCGAUCGUCGAAUUUGGGUAUAGGGGCGAAAGACUAAUCGAACCAUCUAGUAGCUGGUUCCUGCCGA